AGAGCCAACAAUAGAUAUGAGGGCCAAAGUUCAACAAAAAGAAUUGAGACCAAGAAUGGCAAUCAAGAAAGCCGCUUUUAUUCCCACUUCAAAUCAUGCCCGCACGAAUCCAAUUUCCUUUAGAUUCCCCAUCUCAUAUAUCCCCCAUUAAAGCCGGAAUCCGAAUGAUCUCAUCAUGGACAUCAAGAAUCCACUUUCCUUAAAGAAAAAGGUAUAUAUAUAUAUAUAUAUAUAUAUAUAUAUAUAUAUAUAUAUAUAUAUAUAUAUAUAUAUAUAUAUGAGGUACUCCAACGUUCGUUAGCAGCCCUGUGGCCUUCGUCGUCCGCCGCCGCCGCCGCAUGCGACGCCUUUCGCCGGCCCAAAUUCGUCUGCCAUUCCUAUCAAAUGGCAUGCUAUUGCAUCGGCUUUCGUGGGAGAAAUGAGUGUUCGUGCUUUGAUGGUCAGGAUGGGGUCGGAACGUUCGUCUCCUGGGCGGAAGGCUUUCGAUCUUAAGGAGGCACUGGACGUGUUCGGAGCGAGGGGAGCAAUGCUGAUCUGGUGCCUGAUGGAUGGGAAGCGUGGGAAAUUAUAUCAGACGCCAGAAUGCUUCGACAGGUCUGAUCAAUACAUUACCCACCAACUACGGCUCAGAAAUCAACACUUUUGAUGCGGUUGCAAUUUAGAGAUGUUUGGUCACUGUCGCUUUCUUUUACAUGUUCGAUGAAAUGUUUGCGAACCUGAGCAAGAAAAGAGCUGCCUGUGGCUUCCUUAUGGCA